ACGGGAAGAGCCCAAACCAACAAGCUUGCUUGUUGGGGUUGUAGGACACUCUAUACGGAGUUACAAAGGACGACAUUAGACGAAUCAUCUGGAAAGAUGAAUCAAAGAAGGUAAUAAUCCUGUAGUCGAAAAUGUUGUCUCUCUUGAGUGGAUCCUGAGUACGACGGAGCACGUGAAAUUCCGUCGGAAUCUGGGAGGACCAUCUCCUAAGGCUAAAUACUCUCUAGUGACCGAUAGUGAACCAGUACCGUGAGGGAAAGGUGAAAAGCACCCCGGAAGGGGAGUGAAAUAGAACCUGAAACCGUGUGCUUACAAGUAGUCAGAGCCCGUUAAUGGGUGAUGGCGUGCCUUUUGUAGAAUGAACCGGCGAGUUACGAUUUGAUGCAAGGUUAAGCAGUAAAUGUGGAGCCGUAGCGAAAGCGAGUCUGAAUAGGGCGUUUAGUAUUUGGUCGUAGACCCGAAACCAGGUGAUCUACCCUUGGUCAGGUUGAAGUUCAGGUAACACUGAAUGGAGGACCGAACCGACUUACGUUGAAAAGUGAGCGGA
rnacentral:rRNA from 1 species